GCUUACGGCCAUACCACCCUGAACACGCCCCGAUCUCGUCUGAUCUCGGAAGCUAAGCAGGGUCGGGCCUGGUCAGUACUUGGAUGGGAGACCGCCUGGGAAUACAGGUGCUGUAAGCU
rnacentral:rRNA from 1 species